rnacentral:rRNA from 1 species
UCAAGCGAACAAGGGCGCAGGGCGAAUGCCUUGGCACUGGGAGCCGAUGAAAGACGUGAUAAGCUGCGAUAAGCUUCGGGGAGCUGCAAAUAAGCAUUGAUCCGGAGAUUUCUGAAUGAGGAAACUCACCUGGGUUCAUACUCAGGUACAAUACACUGAAAUUCAAAAUAGGUGUAUUGAGGGAACCGCCUGAACUGAAACAUCUAAGUAGGGCGAGGAAGAGACAUCAAACGAGAUUCCGUAAGUAGUGGCGAGCGAACGCGGAAGAGGGCAAACCGAGAGUAGAAAUACUUUCGGGGUACGGACUGCUUUUAAGACUUAAUCUGUUAACCGAACGGCAUGGGAAGGCCGGUCAGAGAGUGUGAGAACCACGUAGGUGAAAACGGAAAGAGCUGCGCAGAUUCCAGAGUACGGCCAGACACGUGAAACCUGGUCGGAAGAUGGGGGGACCACCCUCCAACCCUAAAUACUACCCAGUGACCGAUAGCGUAUAGUACUGUGAAGGAAAGGUGAAAAGCACCCCGGGAGGGGAGUGAAAAAGAACCUGAAACCCUGUGCCUACAAGCACCUAGAGCGCGUCAAAGCGUGAUAGGGUACUUUUUGUAGAACGGUCCGGCGAGCGAUUGUAUGCAGCAAGGUUAAGGACUUAAGGUCUGGAGCCGAAGCGAAAGCGAGUUUGAAAAGGGCGUUAAGUUGCAUAUAAUGGGCCCGAAACCGGGUGACCUACCCAUGGUCAGGUUGAAGUGGAAGUAAAAUUCCAUGGAGGACCGAACCGACCUCCGUUGAAAAGGCGGCGGAUGAACUGUGGGUAGCGGAGAAAUUCCAAUCGAACCCGGAGAUAGCUGGUUCUCCCCGAAAUAGUUUUAGGACUAGCCUCAAGUUAGAUACCUGGAGGUAAAGCACUGAAUAGCCUAGCGGCCGAGAGGUUAGCGAAGCUUAUCAAACUCAGAAUGCCAGAGUAUUGAUGCUUGGGAGUCAGACAGUGUCAGAUAAAUGUCAUUGUCAAAAGGGAAACAGCCCAGAUCUACAGCUAAGGUCCCAAAGUCAGGUUAAGUGGAAAACGAUGUGAAGAUACGCAGACAACCAGGAUGUUGGCUCAGAAGCAGCCACUCAUUCAAAGAGUGCGUAAUAGCUCACUGGUCGAGCGUCUUUGCGCGGAGAAUUUAACGGGGCUAAACCUGACACCGAAGCUUAGGCAAUACAGCAAUGUAUUGGGUAGGGGAGCGUUGUAUACGCGGAGAAACAGUAGCGCAAGCGGCUGUGGAGUGUAUAGAAGUGAGAAUGCCGGAAUGAGUAGCGCGAAUGCAGUGAGAAUCUGCAUGGCCGAAAGCCUCAGGUUUCUGGAGGAAGGUUCGUCCGCUCCAGGUUAGUCGGGAGCUAAGGUGAGGCCGGAAGGCGUAGCCGAUGCACAGACGGUAGAGAUUCCGUCACCACCAAAAGAGUUAAGCACAGGGACACAUUUGAAGUCUCAGAGCCGGGUGUUGGUUCCGGUAGAGAUCGAGGGAAAUUAGUACCGAAGUCUGAGAUGGAAGAUGGCGAGAAAAGCUGUGUGUAUUUCUGAGGUGCCCGUACCGCAAACCGACACAGGUAGGUAGGAAGAAGAUUCUAAGGCCAACGGGAGAAGGGUUGUUAAGGAACUCGGCAAAUUGACCCCGUAACUUCGGGAGAAGGGGUGCUCCAGAGAUGGAGCCGCAGAGAAUCGGCCCAAGCAACUGUUUACCAAAAACACAGGUUUGUGCUAAAUCGAAAGAUGACGUAUACGAGCUGACGCCUGCCCGGUGCUGGAAGGUUAAGAGGAGAUGUGCAAGCAUUGAAUCGAAGCCCCAGUGAACGGCGGCCGUAACUAUAACGGUCCUAAGGUAGCGAAAUUCCUUGUCAGGUAAG